CUUUUAUUUUGAUAACCACUACCGGAAACGUCGGUGUUUCGGUUGGGCUUGGCGCAACCGGUUUAGAAACAAACAGCUUUUGUGCAGAGCUACUCGAUCAGCUGUAGCAGUUGACGUGUGUAACGGUACCGGUUGUAAUUUUGCGGGUCUCUAUUGUCCUGAUUAUCGCAAAUUACCGUGUUUGUCGGUCGGACCAACAUGGAGAACCGAAAACGACCGUUAUAGGCAGUUGUGACCGCUAACGACAGCUUCAUAACUCUGGAGAAGAGAGUGUCAGUGGUCCGGCUGCUGGACUCGGACUACAUGAGAUGGAGAGUGGAGGAAACGUGCCGGGUACCUGCGAACAGAAAGUCUCGGAGAGUGGGGAGAUAACACUUAGAGGUUGCUUUUGUGAUUUUGAUCUUUUUGCAUUACGGUGAUGAUCUCAAAACCACAAGCCAGUUGCUAAUCUGAAGUCACAGGUGUCGGGCUUGCGAAGAAAUUUGAGAGGAAAUCUAAGAACUUUGUUUUCAAGAAUCUCACUUGUUCUCAAGUUCUAUCUUAGGAAGAAAAGAGAAGAAAGUUAAGAAAACAACCGAAAAAUGAUAAGCAUUUCUUCAUGAAUACCAAAUCUUUUUAAAUUUUAUCUUAAGAGCAAAGUUAAGAAAAAAGUGGCACUUAAGAAGCAUUUUUUUCCUAAAGAAUGCUUUGUGAAUCCGGCCCCUGGAGAAUAUUUGCAUACAUUGCCUUGGUGACCGCCUGCAGAUCCUACACAGCCUCAGGAAAUUGUGGCAGAUGGAAGCAGAGCCAAAUAAGGUGUUUAAUGAUCCCAUCCACAGGCAUGUGGAGUUGCAGCACCUCAUGCAGCUUGGAGGUACCUACUUUGAUUUCCUGGUGCAUCCCAUAACCGCUUUGAACAUUGCAUAGGGUCUGUCCUGGAUAUAAAACGUGACAUAUUAUUCGUGUGACAGUCGCUGGUUGGACGCAAAUACAACCUCGGACAUCUUCCAAACGCUACAGAAGACAUUGUCAAAGGAGUUCAACUGGGAGGAAUGGGGGGGGGGUUGAAGAAAUGUGUCAGUACCUGAAAUAAGAAGGACCCGGAGAAUGGGAGGCUAAAAGAGGUUAGCCUCCUUAAGGUUAUCCUCAGAGGUUGGUUUUCAGGUUUGGUAAAUUAAAUGAUGUUUCAUUUUCAUCUCAUGGUAGAUCAAAGUAAAUUAGCUUCUGGGAACUGCUUCACUACAGAAAUACUUUGGUGUUGUGCAGCAUCGUCGUAAUGUCACAAGGCUACUUGUACAAAAAUAAAACACAAUGUAAUACAGGAUUGUUUUAACUGCUUCCUCUUUAACCCAGAGGUUAACAUCACUGGUAUUAUGCUGUGGUAUCUUGAGAUUGAUGAUCUGAAGAUGGGCAUAGAGUGAGUGUCUCUCCUUGUUACACCAGGUUGAAAUGUCUCAAAGUCAAAGCAAUCCAGAAUAGAAAGAACUAAGUACAAAGCAAAAUUCUCUAAAGUGGUAGUGCUAAUGUGCUAAAGUUUUAUCUUUUCAACUCAUUACCUACUGUUCUUUUUUCAAAUAGAAAAAAUUAGUGACUGUUGGAGAAUCCAGCACAGUAUCAGGAAAGUCAGGCACAACAAAGGCAAGGUAAUGUAUAUUUCGCCUAAGUGUACAUCACACUACAUUUUUUAGAGAUGCAGGAGACCAAACAGAGGAAAGCUGAAGAGCUUGUAGAAGUUUUCUGUCUAUUGUUAAGUCGACAUAACAAUACGAUGAGAUAUUGGAUGCGAGAAAAAUGAAGAUAAGGAAGAUGAAAUUAAUAAAAACUAGUUAAUUGACCACUGCAGAGAGCUGUUUUUUACUGAUACUUUGGGUCAUAAAUUAAUUUGAUUUUUAAGCCAUUAAUUUAUAGUGUUGCUUUCAUGUUAGCUCUAUUUAAUACCCACAAGAAACCUGCCAAAACGUAUUAGUAUAACUGACCGUCUGUUAUGUUUUACAAGCUGUGAAAUUUCUAAAAUUUAAGAGCUGAAUUUAAAUGCGCUGUAACGCAUUCAUCCACACAAGGAGAGAAACAGAAAAAGGCACACAUUGGGGCCAUCUUAAAAUGCAUUAAUGUCAAAGCUUUAAAAUUACAAAACGGCACAUUUACAAUCCUUUAAUUUAGCUUUUAGUGCAAAUCAUACCAAAUACAUCCAGGUUCCUCUGCACAGCAACAUGGGACAAAAUAAAUGUUAAUAAAAAUAAUUACCAUAAAUAAGUUAUUAGUGGUAAUCUAAAAAAAAUGUGCAAUGCUUAACAAUAGCAAAAGUCUAGCUAAACUGACCAUUCACAUACAUAAAGCUGACCUGCUCUGAGGUAAAUUAAUAAAUUAUGCUACAAUAAAAACAGCUCAAUAUUACACUAAACCAGCAGAAAAGAAGCUAACAACAGAAAUUAUCAUGAGGAGGCUUAAAAGCUUUUCACAGUCCAACG